ensembl:snRNA U6 U6 spliceosomal RNA
GUGCCCAUUUCAGCAGCACAUAUACUAAAAUUGGAAUGUUACAGAGAAGGUUAGCAUGAUCCCUAGCAAGGAUGAUAUGCAAAUUUCUGAAGUGUCCCAUAUUUUU